rnacentral:rRNA from 1 species
UGGGGAAUAUUGGACAAUGGACCAAGAGUCUGAUCCAGCAAUUCUGUGUGCACGAUGAAGUUUUUCGGAAUGUAAGGUGCUUUCAGUUGGGAAGAAAGAAAUGACGGUACCAACAGAAGAAGUGACGGCUAAAUACGUGCCAGCAGCCGCGGUAAUACGUAUGUCACAAGCGUUAUCCGGAUUUAUUGGGCGUAAAGCGCGUCUAGGUGGUUAUGUAAGUCUGAUGUGAAAAUGCAGGGCUCAACUCUGUAUUGCGUUGGAAACUGUAUAACUAGAGUACUGGAGAGGUAAGCGGAACUACAAGUGUAGAGGUGAAAUUCGUAGAUAUUUGUAGGAAUGCCGAUGGGGAAGCCAGCUUACUGGACAGAUACUGACGCUGAAGCGCGAAAGCGUGGGUAGCAAACAGGAUUAGAUACCCUGGUAGUCCACGCCGUAAACGAUGAUUACUAGGUGUUGGGGGUCGAACCUCAGCGCCCAAGCAAACGCGAUAAGUAAUCCGCCUGGGGAGUACGUACGCAAGUAUG